rnacentral:lncRNA from 15 species
GGGGAGAAAGCGAGAGCUCGCGCCGGUUCUCAAACGCUGCACGCUCGAAAUUCCUCCAAGGAACCUCUGCGAGCUUUUCUUUUUUCAUCACGCGCGAGCUAAAAAUAGAAACGGGGUUGGAUCGUGAUCCAGAAAUAGAUAGGGGGCAUCACUCCUAUAAAAGGCACACCAUUCAAGAGUACAGUGUGUGCACAGUUUGAAGAAGCGAAAAGCAAGAGCAUAUUUUAUGGAGAAACGGGCUUUUUGUCCCUUUUCCUGUGGUACUUUUCGCCUUUUUGAAAGGAGGCUCCGCGGCUGCGAUGAUUCUCUACACAUCACACACACACUCCGCUGGGAGACAGCAGCAGUGACCAAACCACAGCGAGGUCAGCAGGUGGAAUCCACAGAGUGAGUGAGAGAAACUGUAAAAGGGAAGUAAACAAUAGUUUUUCAUCAUGCUCAUAUAGCACCGACGUGACCCCCCCUUACACUGCUUAUUUUUAUU